GCAUAUGUAAUUUGUUAAGCUGAUUAUGUGUUGCAAUCUUUUGUGGGUGGUAGGAUGUUUCUUUUUCUAUGCCGCUUUGCCACUCAAAAUUGGAGGAACUUAGUACAGAAGAGCUGCUUGAGCUUUCAGAGAUUGAGAAACAAAAUCUGGGCCAGGUAAAUUUGUCAUGUAGUUGAGACUCACGUGGAAAAAUAAAUCCAGGAGAGAAAUUUGCUUACAAAUCUUUGUAUUAAUGAUGUCAGAUUCUUUGACUGACUUGUCAAUGACUAGUCUGAUGCUUGAUUCCACGGCUUGAACCCGUGACCUAUAGGUCACACGGAGACAACUUGACCGUUGCUCUGAGGCUUCCCUUCAAUUGUCCGAAGUAUUGAGUAUUUUUUUCAUGUUAUGUCUGAGUUUCCUUUGCCUUAAUGAACUUAACUUUCUCAAUGUGGAAAUUUGGAGUAAUUAUAAUGAUGUAUAAAAUUACUUUACUGCUUGCUGAAGAACUGUCACGGUAUGUUCAAUAGUGGAUUAUUCAGUUUCCCCUUUUACCAUGCAAAACUUUUUUAUUGUUGAGGUAUGUCAACUACUUCCUUUAACAGCUUAAACUGCCAGUGACGAGACACUUUUAUAGUUCACAACAUUGUCCCCCCGCCCCACCCAAAUAUUUUUUGAUUUUUUUUCCUUGGGCCACACACAUGGAAAUAUUUCAUUUAUAGGUGAUGGUAGGCUGAACUAAGGACCUUUGCUUGCUUAAUAUGUUUUAGUGUGUGAAUAACCUGGUUUAAAAGCUU
rnacentral:lncRNA from 1 species